UAAAUAUUUAUGUGUGUACCUGGUCAGUACGUAUAUAGUACACGCGCACAGACACCGGAUGCGGCGCGCGCCCUUGGCAGAGGACCGGCGACCUCGUUUGCAGCUCUUGCUGGCGGUGCCCUCACGGCCUUGACCAUCACCGCGCGCCCAGCUUUCACCUGCUGCUCUCCUGGUGCCACUGCCUUGUUCUUUGGAACUAGGUCCUUGCCCACUUCUCCUGCCCUCGCUCCACGCGGAAGGAUUGUUAACCGCCCCACCCCACCCCCCGACAGGUGCUUUUGGCUGUUAAACACUGAUUCUAGGAAGCCCUCUCCCUCUUGGACAGCUGCCACUUGUUUUCAGAGGGUGGGGAGAAUGUUAGCACAGUUCUUAUUAACUAGGAUUGUUACAUCCGAGCACUUAGAGCGUGGCAGGUUAAACGGUAUGAAACUGCUGUUUUUCUAGGUCGGGAGGGGCUCCAGAUGGCAAUGGGUAAGGAGAUAGCAGGCACCUUGCUAGAGCCCUCUCAGACUUCUGUCAUCCCUCAUUCCCUGUUCAAACUGUCUCUUUUCCCUCUUUUAACUCCAUUCUACAUUGAACAAAGAAAGGCAAACACCUAAGUGCAGCGAUCGUGCCUUGCUCGUCCCUCUGUGAUUUGUACAAGCCCGCGUUCUCAGCCGCCUCCUCUCCGGCUGUCUGGACUUGUACUCACAGUGUCCACGCCCAGUUAGCCCUCCCCAGGCUCACUGUUGGAGCCCGGGAGCUCAGGCUCUGGGGUGUAUUUGAUUCUUUCAUGUGAAGACCCAGAUCCCGUCACAAAGGUUUCCUCUUCCUUGGCCCCGCCCACACCGUGGUCUUCCUGUCUCCCACUCUGUGUCUGUGUGUGUGAUGGGACGGACUGGGGUCCUGACAAUGGGCGUGCUUCCUUGGCCUGACCCUGUAUGCAGCUUGACUGGGUGCUGGUUGGUCAGACAUUCUCAUUGGCCAGUGUUGCUCCCCACGUGGCCUCUCGAUGUAAUCACUUUCCCUCUUCAUAUGCGUAGGUGACUUAUUAGUUGCUCGUUUAACUUGAUAGUGAUUUCACCGAGCUACACUCCUUCCAUUCCAUCAUUGCUGGCACCUCUUGAAAAAAGGAAACCACCACCACCCAACAGCAAGAGCAGUAGCUGCGAACAGGAACUCCAGGAUGGGAAGGUUUCUAUUGUUAUACCUAAAAUAGGAGGCAGCAUAGCCCGCUGGUCAAGAUUACGGAUGAUGGAGUCACCCAGUUCUGAGUACAAAUCCACACGCUGUACCAGACAUUCAGCCUCAGACACGCCAAACCACGGCCUCAUCUUUCACUGUGAGAGGCUGGUUCCUCUACUUUACAGGAACACCUGGUGGGACAACUGAGUUACCCACCUGCAUAGAGCUCAUGUUCCUGGGGGAUCUCUUUGGCCUGACUUAGGCCAGGUAAGCAAGCACAACACAGGAUGGCCGCAGACACCUCCUUCGUGGCUACCCAGCCUUCUGCAGCUUUGGCACUUGGGAGCUCUAGGGUAUCAGUGGUGUGGCUGCUUUAUUCUGGGCACAUGACUGUCCCGUCUACAAUGAUCCGCCUCCCUCAUUCUCUGCUCCCAGACUCUGCGUGGUUGUUCCUUCACUAUCUUACAGUAUACUGCGUUUCACAUCUAUGUGUUUAUUGUGCUUCCCCUGCGAGGAUGUAAACUCCAU
ensembl:lncRNA